UUUAGAACAAUAAAUAAAGAGUUAAUACCUCCAAUGGUCCUCCGAGUAUUAACGAUUUACCAGCUGUGGUCAUCCAACUUUUAAAUAACCUCUAAUGGUCCUCCAUAUUUUAAAAAAUAACCACCCGUGGUCCUUUUAGGACAUCUCGUGGUCAUUUUAAACUCGGGAUUUCUUAAGAAUUAGGACCACGGAUGGUUAUUUUUUAAAACAUAGAGGACCAUUGGAGGUUAUUUAAAAGUCGAAUGACCAUAGCUGGUAAAUCGCUAAU